AUUCAUCGAUUAGCUGCUAGAUAAUAGCAUGUGACAUUUUUAGUCGCUAAGUGGUAACUUCCAAAUUCAGAGAAACCCUGGAAUUAAAAAAGGGCAAUCCUGAGCCAAAUCCGUGUUUUGAGAAAACAAGGGGUUCUCGAACUAGAAUACAAAGGAGAAGGAUAGGUGUAGAGACUCAAUGGAAGCUGUUCUAACGAAUCGAGUUAAUUACGUUGUGUUGUUAGUGGAAUUCCGAAGUGAGUGGCAUCGUGCCUUCUUUUAGAGCGGGUCACAUCCAAUUUCGAUAUGGCUCACCUUUGAAUCACUUGUUGGUAAUUAUUCCAUAGAAAUGACUUAUUAGGAUACG
rnacentral:ncRNA from 1 species